rnacentral:rRNA from 1 species
CUGGCGGCGUGCCUAACACAUGCAAGUCGAACGGGGUCAAAAAGCUUGCUUUUGACUAGUGGCGGACGGGUGAGUAACGCGUGAGUAACCUGCCUCUGAGAGGGGAAUAACGUUCUGAAAAGAACGCUAAUACCGCAUAACGUAUCGAAGCCGCAUGACUUUGAUACCAAAGAUUUUAUCGCUCGGAGAUGGACUCGCGUCCGAUUAGUUAGUUGGUGAGGUAACGGCUCACCAAGACCGCCGAUCGGUAGCCGGACUGAGAGGUUGAUCGGCCACAUUGGGACUGAGACACGGCCCAGACUCCUACGGGAGGCAGCAGUGGGGGAGUAUUGCGCAAUGGGGGCAACCCUGACGCCAGCAACGCCGCGUGAAGGAUGAAGGUUUUCGGAUUGUAAACUUCUUUUAUCAGGGACGAAGCUUGACGGUACCUGAUGAAUAAGCUCCGGCUAACUACGUGCCAGCAGCCGC